GGCCCCGGGGCACCAAGACUCGCGCCGGGGGCGGGGCCUCGCAGCGCCGGCCGCCAACGGCCAGAGCAACGGUCCCCACUGGGAAGGGCCGGGCCUCGCCUCCCUGCGAGGAAGGGAGGGAAGAGAGAGGUCGGGGCUGAGAGGCGGAGUAGGGUGAAGGACACUGGAAAUGACCGGGGGUGGGGGUGGGGAAAAGGAGACUUGAGGAGCAAGCCACUCGCGCAGGUCCAGACGAUCCGGAGGGAAAUAUUCCAGCCUUGGAAUAAGGUUGUGGACGGUGAACAAAAGAAAGGCCAAAUGCUUUAGGAAAAUGUAUUAAAAGGAAUUUAAGCAAUGGAAAAUUCAGCAACACAAUGUAUGACAACAGUAAAUGACCCAGUUUAUUAUUUAAAUUCCAAGAAAAGGAUUUAGGAAAGGAUGCUACCAAACCCACUGUUUACUGGAGAAUAAAAUGAGUAAUACUGGUUGGCAACGUGUAUCCUGAGGGAGCCUGGAGAAGCAGCAGCCUACAUCCUCAAGAUAUUCCAGUUAGUUGCAGUCUGUUGUCUAUUCAUUCAAAUAUUUAUAGGGCACCUUACUAUGCCUUAGGAACUCUUUAACGCUAGGGAUUGUAAACAAUUUCUGUGUGCAUGGAGCUUCAUUCUAAGUCGGGAGAUAUCAGAGUGAAGAGGUGGGAAAAAAGCUGGUCAGGAAAAGCGUUAGUGACAUUUGAGCCAAGACUGAAGGAAAAAGGUCACUCACUUAUCUUGGAGGAAGAAUUUUCCAGGUAGAGGGAAAGCCAUGUGCCAGGAUCUGAGAUGGGAGUGUGUUUGGUGGGUUCAAAGAACAGCAAGGAGGCCAGAGUGGCAAGAGCAGAGUAGGAGAUGAAGUCUAAGAUAUAAAAGAGAGCCAGCAGGUAAAGUCUGAUAGACCACUGAGCACUUUGGCUUUUGCUGAAUGAAAUGGGGAGUCACUGUGUGCAUAGUCUUAAACAAGGGAGUAACCUAAUCAACCUGGGUUUUAAAGAAACCCUCUUGCUGCUAUAUAAAGAAUUUACAGUAAAUGUGAGAAGUGAGAGGGAGGGUGGAGCAAGAACGGAGGCUGGGAGCCCAAUUAAGAGGCUGUUGAAAUAAUCCAGCCCAGAGAUGGUGGUGGCCAAGGUCAGGGUGUUACGGUAAAGGUGGUGACAAGUGGUUGGAUGCUUUAUAAAUACAUUGUAAUAGCAGAACCAAAAGGAUUUGCUAACGCAUUAGGUGUGAGUGAAGUCAAAGUUGACCUGAGGUUAUUCAAGACUUAAGCACAGAACUGUGCUUGGCUCUAAUAUAAACACUAUGCUAAGUGCUAUAAAGGAAGAGUAGAAUCUUUUAGCUUCUUGCAGCAAUUAGUGUCCUCAGCCUGACUAUCACUAUCAAAAUCUCAGUCCCCACCCCAAAUCUGCAGAGGUAAUCUGCAUUUUAACAAGCUUCUCAGCCAAUUUGUAUGCCCAGUGAAAUCUAAAAGUUUUUUACUGCUUUAUUAGAACUUGAUUGUUGCCUUUAAGAUCAGACAUGAGCUACUAGACAAAUUCUUCCCAAACCUAUAAAAUCAAAAACUUAAGGUAAAACCCAGCAAUCUGUGCCCUCUGGGUGAUUCUGAUACCUGCUAAAAUAUGAGAACCAGUGACUUGGAGACAUUUGGUGAUUCAGGUUUGAGCUGAAAAGGUCUUGUGAUUAGGUGUUAAGAAGGAAACGCCUUUUCUGCUUUACUUUGGCACAUUAUGAAAUAGCAGUUACAAGAACAUGAAGAGACUGGUCAGUUAAAUUAGGCUUCAA